rnacentral:lncRNA from 1 species
UAUACAAGAAUUUCUCAGGAGACGCAGACAUACAAGUUAAAGUUACCUACACAAAAUACAUGCCAUCUGCCCAAAAUGGUCAAAUAACAAUAGACAGACAGAGAAAAAAAAAGAAUCAGAGUGCCACGAAAUUUUGCACGCAGAAAGCAAAUCAGGUAAAGAAAGUAUUAACAAAGCCCAAGGGGGUGCGCACAUUCUAGUGUAGAGUUUUUAGACCACCCACCAACUUUACAAAAGCCAGUUUCCUGGAAGAACCCUCUCUACUUAAAAAAUACACACACAC